rnacentral:rRNA from 1 species
GGGGAAUAUUGCGCAAUGGGCGAAAGCCUGACGCAGCAACGCCGCGUGAGUGAUGAAGGCCUUCGGGUUGUAAAGCUCUGUCGGGCGGAACGAAUUGGUGCAGUGUGAAUAAUGCUGCACUUUGACGGUACCGCUAGAGGAAGCACCGGCUAACUCCGUGCCAGCAGCCGCGGUAAUACGGAGGGUGCAAGCGUUGCUCGGAAUUAUUGGGCGUAAAGCGCACGCAGGCGGCAAAGUAAGUCAGUUGUGAAACUCCCGGGCUUAACUUGGGAACUGCAGCUGAUACUGCCUUGCUUGAGUACGGAAGAGGGGAGCGGAAUUCCCAGUGUAGAGGUGAAAUUCGUAGAUAUUGGGAGGAACACCGGUGGCGAAAGCGGCUCCCUGGUCCGAUACUGACGCUCAUGUGCGAAAGCGUGGGGAGCAAA